rnacentral:tRNA from 1 species
GGUUGUGGCUCAGUGGUAGAGUGCUUGCCUAGCAUGCAUGAGGCACUGGGUUCAAUCCUCAGCACCA